rnacentral:sRNA from 1 species
CCCUAGCCCUGAUAGAAGCGGUAUCCUUUUUCUGGCUCCUUUAGCCAGGAAAAGAUACAAGUGGAUAGCAGGAAAUAGC